CCCGCACCCCGCACAGCCAAUGCGCGCGCGCGCCCCGGGGGCGGGACCGCUAGGCCACGCCCCCUGCGAUUGAGGCGGGCCCGGCGCCUUAAAGCGGCCGCGAGGGGCGCCGAGCGCGGUGGGCCCGGCCUGCGGACGCGCGGGUGCUCCGGGGCUGCUGCGUGGCCGCCUCCACUCCCCCGGGCCCCUGGCGUCCUCCCUUCUCCAGGCCGGAGCGCAGGGCCGAAGGCCACCGCCCGGGGACCGGCCCCAGGCACAUGGGACCGCGGCGGGCGCCCUGCCAAUCCCCAGGAGGCCCGGCCCCUGGCCCUGAACCUGCACCCGGUGGCCACCCCGCCGCGCAGGCGCUGGCUCGUGAGUCACCUGGCGGGGGCCACGUGUGUGCGGCGUGGGCCCUGCGUCCACAGGUCUGCAACCCCUGCCCCCACCGAGGGCUCAGCCCCGGCCCAGCUGCAAGAGAACAGAAAACCGGCUUCGGGAGCCGGGCGCGGUGGCUCACGCCUGUAAUCCCAGUUACUCAGGAAGCUGAGGCAGUAGAAUCGCUUGAAUCCGGGAGGCAGAGGUUGCAGUGAGCUGAGAUCGCGCCACUGCACUCCAGCCUGGGCGACAGAGCGAGACUCCAUCUCAAAAAAAAAAAAAAAAAAAAGAAAAAGAAAAGAAAAAAAGAACCUGCUUGGGGCCAGACUGAAUGAAAACUGGGAAAAAAGGCGGUUAGGAAGGACUUGCCUCUCCCUUCCCACACACAGAUGCCCGGAAGCUCCUGCUCAGUUCUGGUCUGGCUCUGACCAGACGCCCCAGGCAACCACCCUGGAAGUGGGGCCCCGGGGUGGAUUCUGGGGCUCUUGUUCCCAGGAGAUGCCUGCCUGCAUCUGGGCCCCUGCUUGGAUUCCACUUCCCUGCGAAGAACAAGGAGGCGCUGGUGUGUUCCUGGCCCAGGUGCACCUGCUGGGCAAAAUGAAAUUUAAGUCCCCAAGGCUGCUUUAGGGCUGGGCCACAGGGAUGAAGACCUGCAGCUCCAGCUUGGUCACUGCUGUCCGGCCUCCCCCACCCUCCAGGGCGAAGGGUGAGGAGCACCGGAAAAACAACUCGUGGUCCCUGGAACCCCUCAAGCACCAGAAUGUGUCCAGCCCUGCCUCUGCGCAUCCAGCGAUGCCCUGGCUGUGUCGGAAGCGCAAGACGCACACUUAGGAUUUUCAGCUUGGCUGUGGGUUUAUUGGGCCGUAACCCCAACGUAGGCAGGUAGCCAACUGGAGGAGACUGUUUUCUAGACCCUUAGGUGGCCUCUGACCCCAGAAGUCAUCAGCGGAAGAUUUGGGCUGGGGAGUGAGCAGCUAACCAGAGGCGGUACCCCUGCCCGGAAGUGUGUCCUGGACCUUGGUUUGGUUGGGUCCCUCAGGUGUUGCCCACACAGACCGUAACUACCUGGCAAUCGAGAAGGGUGCCAGAUGGACACUGGGGGUGAAAACACAGCCACGCCUGGUGGGGAAGCGGGUGGAGGUGCUCAGGAGGCAACCAGGAGAGUGCAGUGCAGCACUGCCCGCACCAAGCCUGGGCUGGGGCUCAACAGGAAGCGUGGAGAUGGCGCAAAUGCACCGCAGGGACUCAGAGGGAUCACGCUGGGCUUAAAAGGCCCAGAGCAAACAGACUCAACCGUUAGGAAGCAGGGGAAGUGGCCCGAUCUUAACGGAAAUUUCCCAGCAAGAGGACAGGCUUCCUUGUCCGGGGCCAUCCAGGCUCACACCUGACUGAGUCCCGCAGACUUGGCUGUGCCCACAGCGCCUGUCUCACUCAGUGUAAACCGAGAUGAGUUGCAUCCAUCGGCUCCCGAUUACCAAGAAUCAAGAGGCGAUGGAUGGAAACCUUGGGGGAAGCAGGGCCUGGAGGGCCAGUGUCCCCUGAGUCUGUGAGACACUCCAGGAAGGAGGGGGGCGGGCCUGGGCUGCAACCUGUCCCUCCGAAGGCCACCUGCAAGACAGGGCUGAAACUGGCUGCUGGCAGAGACCCCCCAACCCACAGAACACUGGCUCCCUGCUGAAGGAAGAACUGCUCCAAAGCAGAAAGAGCAGGGCCCAGCGGGUAAGGAGCAGGAACUGAAGAGCUUUACAAAGAACAAAAAAGGCUGGGCAGGGCAGCUCUCACCUGUAAUCCCAGCACUUUGGGAGGCCAAGGUAGGAGGAUCUCUUGAGGCCAGGCGUUUCAGACCAGCCUGCGCAACACAGUGAGACCACAUCUCUAAAAAAAAUCAAAAGAUUAGCCAGGCAUGAUGGCACGUGCCUAUAGUCCCAGCUACCUGGGAGGAUGAGGUAGGACGAUUGCUUGUGCACAGGAGGCUGAGGCUGCAGUGAGCCUUGAUCAGGCCACUGCACUCCAGCUCGGGUGACAGAGUGAGAUCGUGUCUAUAUUAAAAAAUAAAAAUAGGCCAGGUGUGGUGGCUCACACCUGUAAUCCCAGCACUUUGGGAGGCCGAGGUGGGUGAUCACCUGGGGUUAGGAAUUCGAGACCAUCCUGGCCAACGUGGUGAAACGCUGCCUCUACUAAAAAUACAAAAAUUAGCUGGGUGUUGUGGCGGGCGCCUGUAAUCCCAGCUACUAGGGAGGCUAAGGCAGGAGAAUCGCUUGAACCUGGGAGGUGGAGGUUGCAGUGAGCCAAGAUCGUGCCAUUGCACUCCAGCCUGGGUGACAAGAGCAAAACUCACUCAAAAAAAAUUAAAAUUAAAAAAGAUAAAAAUAAGGUUCAAGACCAGCCUGGCCAACAGGGUGAAACCCUAUCUCUACUAAUAAAAAUACAAAAUUAGCUGGGCGUGGUGGUGCAUGCCUGUAAUUCCAGCUUCUUGGGAAGGUGAGGCAGGACAAUUGCUUGAACCCGGCAGGUGGAGGCUGCAGUGAGCCAAGACUGCACCACCAGCCCAGGUGACAAACUGACACCGUUUCAUAAAAAUAAAUACAUAAAUAAGUAAAUAAAACAUUAAAAAAAAUAGAACAAAAGUGCAAGGAGCUGUAGGGGACUGAAGUUUGUGAACUCCGUGAGCUAGAGAUGCUGGGAGAGCAGUCAGAAGGCGAGGAAUCCUGAAAACAGGAAAUGCAUCCAGGGCCAGAGGCUUUUUCAAAUGAUGAAUCUAGAACUGCAGGUCGGGGACUCACAAGGAUCCCUGAUGGAUUCUCAAACGGAUCAUAAGUUAUGUCGGUAGGCCCAAGGGGGUGGUUGGGGCAGACUGAGCAAGCUCACGGGACAGGGCUCCCCGUCCAGCCUCCGACUGCGGCCUGGCAUCCACCGCAGUGUCCUGCUGCUUGGCAUCCACAGGUUAUUUUGGGGGUCCCCCGGCAGGGAGGAAAGGGCCUCUCGGUGGCUCCUGCGAGUGGCCUGGCAGACGCCUGAGCCAGGGUAGACAGCGAGGAGUCGCGGGCAGAGAUUUUGCUGGUCUAUCUGGCCUGGGUGCAGCCUGGAUGAAGACAGCAUGUCUGUCUGACCUCAAGCAGGGCUCGUCCCUGAGCUCAGAUGUUCGCUGCCUUCCAGAGGGGAAAGGCAGUUGGGGUCAGCAGGGCACCAGGCAGAAUGCACCCAGCUCCAGGUGGCAGUGUCACCUCCUGAGGGAAGACCAUUAACCCCUCAAAAUGGAUACCAUGGCCAAUGGGGACUUCCAGGCUUGGCUUGGGACAGCCUUUCCUGGGGACAGCAGGUUAGUCAGAGAAACUCUACCAGAAGGCCUUGGAAGAGGACCUGGGCCAGGCAGGGUGUACACGCACAGUGAGCCUGAAACUCCCUGCCCCUCCCGCUCCCCCAGGAGUCCCAGCCAGUGGGCAGCUUCCAGACACACGGUGCCCCUUUCUGGUCCCAUCCAAGGGAUCCUUCCACCAGGAAAACUGAGGCUGGAGGGCAUGGCAGCCUACGGGGCCAUCACACCAGGCAUGUUUCCCGAAGCAGGUGCGGAACAUGGCCUGUCUCUGGCCUCAUUGUGGGCCCACAGCCUGGGGGCUGGCCUUGGUCACGGGCCAGCUGAGACAGAAAUUCGCUGAUUCUCUCCCAGGCUUGGCUGAAAACAGGCGUGCCCAAGAAAAGGCGGCCACGGGUCCUCAAAGCAAGGCCCUGGCCGUUCCAGCCAGGCCAUGGGGCCACACCCCCUGUACUCAGCAGUGGCACCAAGGGGUCUGCAGCCCGAGAGUGGCUGCCAAGGGCUGCCCAGCACUGGGCCACACCUCACCAAGUGCACAGUGACCAGUGCUCCAAGCUGACCACGGCACUCCCGGUCCCCAUGUCCACAAGCCCCUCCUGCCGCUUUGCCCAGGUCCCAGGAUACCCCACUUAAGGGCCCCAGAGGAACAGCUGACACCCCAACCCUGCAGAUGGCAGGUGCAUCCCACACCCCUCCCCAAUCCCCCUGCGCAGCCCCGUGGCCGGGUUUAGGUUCAGGGGUACUUGCAGCCUAAGCUAGGGGUGGCAUCGCCGGCUCCAAGGCUGCCUCGGUUUCUCAGGCGAGUGCUGAACUUCCUGUUGCCUUAAAGAGGGCCAACACUGAAAACAGGGAGGGUUCCCGCUGCCCAGGUCCUCCACACCACUGCCGUCCACCAGGCCCACUGUGGGGUCUCAGGACAGGGCCCUGCACACCGGGGACCUGAUGAAUGUCUGUAGACUCUCAGAUGUCUGCUGAGGAGGCAGGGAACAAGCCUCCCAUCCCGUACCAGCCUCGAUCCCCGCACUGGCCCCGCAGCUCGGCCUGAGCACCGCACUCCACACGCUGCCCGGAUCCCCGCACUGGCCCGGCAGCCCG
rnacentral:lncRNA from 1 species